ACCGUGGCGACGAUGCGUAGGGGUUCUGAGAGGAAGGUCCCCCACACUGGUACUGAGACACGGACCAGACUCCUACGGGAGGCAGCAGUGAGGAAUAUUGGUCAAUGGGAGAGAUCCUGAACCAGCCAAGCCGCGUGAGGGAAGACGGCCCUAUGGGUUGUAAACCUCUUUUGUCGGAGAACAAAACCCGGGACGUGUCCCGGACUGCGUGUAUCCGAAGAAAAAGCAUCGGCUAACUCCGUGCCAGCAGCCGCGGUAAUACGGAGGAUGCGAGCGUUAUCCGGAUUUAUUGGGUUUAAAGGGUGCGUAGGCGGUCCGUUAAGUCAGCGGUAAAAUUGCGGGGCUCAACCCCGUCGAGCCGUUGAAACUGGCAGACUUGAGUUGGCGAGAAGUACGCGGAAUGCGCGGUGUAGCGGUGAAAUGCAUAGAUAUCGCGCAGAACUCCGAUUGCGAAGGCAGCGUACCGGCGCCAGACUGACGCUGAGGCACGAAAGCGUGGGGAUCGAACAGGAUUAGAUACCCUGGUAGUCCACGCAGUAAACGAUGAAUGCUGGUUGUCCGGGUCGAAUGAGACCUGG
rnacentral:rRNA from 1 species